rnacentral:rRNA from 1 species
UACGGAAGGCAGCAGUGGGGAAUAUUGCACAAUGGGCGCAAGCCUGAUGCAGCCAUGCCGCGUGUAUGAAGAAGGCCUUCGGGUUGUAAAGUACUUUCAGUCGUGAGGAAGGUGUUAAGGUUAAUAACCUUAGCAAUUGACGUUAGCGACAGAAGAAGCACCGGCUAACUCCGUGCCAGCAGCCGCGGUAAUACGGAGGGUGCGAGCGUUAAUCGGAAUUACUGGGCGUUAAAGGGCACGCAGGCGGUUAAUUAAGUUGGAUGUGAAAUCCCCGGGCUUAACCUGGGAAUGGCAUUCAAGACUGGUUAGCUAGAGUCUUGUAGAGGGGGUAGAAUUCCAUGUGUAGCGGUGAAAUGCGUAGAGAUGUGGAGGAAUACCGGUGGCGAAGGCGGCCCCUGGACAAAGACUGACGCUCAGUGUGCGAAAGCGUGGGGAGCAAACAGGGAUUAGAUACC